GGCUAACGCUGGCGGCGUGUCUUAGCCAUGCAAGUCGAGCGGACUUAUGGGGUAACUUAUAAGUCAGCGGCGGACGGCGGAGUAACACGUAGCUAACCUACCCUCUGGACGGGGAUAACCUACCGAAAGGUGGGCUAAUACCCGAUGUAGUCAUCCUGUAUAGGGGUGAUGAAAGGUGGGCUUCUGUUUACAAGCUCAUGCUGGAGGAGGGGGCUGCGGCCUAUCAGGUAGUUGGUAGGGUAAUAGCCUACCAAGCCGAUGACGGGUAGCCGGCCUGAGAGGGUGACCGGCCCGAGGGGCACUGAGAUACGGGUCCCACUCCUACGGGAGGCAGCAGGCUAGAAAUUUGGGCAAUGGGGGAAACCCUGACCCAGUGACGCCGCGUGCAGGAAGGAGCCCUUCGGGGUGUAAACUGCUGUCGUGUAGGGGAAGGGUACUAAGGUGAACAAUCUUAGUACUUUGACGGUACUACAGGAGGAAGCCCAGGCUAACCUCGUG
rnacentral:rRNA from 1 species